UACGUAGGGUGCGAGCGUUAAUCGGAAUUACUGGGCGUAAAGCGUGCGCAGGCGGUUUUGUAAGCCAGAUGUGAAAUCCCCGGGCUUAACCUGGGAAUGGCAUUUGGGACUGCAAGGCUUGAGUGCGGCAGAGGAGACUGGAAUUCCUGGCGUAGCAGUGAAAUGCGUAGAUAUCAGGAGGAACACCGAUGGCGAAGGCAGGUCUCUGGGCUGACACUGACGCUCAUGCACGAAAGCGUGGGGAGCAAACAGG
rnacentral:rRNA from 1 species